rnacentral:rRNA from 1 species
AAUGAACGCUGGCGGCGUGCCUAAUACAUGCAAGUCGAACGGAGUGGCGCGCGGGGGAGUAAUAUAUAGCUAAUCUGCCCCUUGCUGGAGGACAACAGUUAGAAAUGACUGCUAAUACUCCAUAGAAAGGGAUGAGACUAUAUCGUAUCAGCUAGUCGGUGGGGUAACGGCCUACCGAGGCUAUGACGCGUAACUGGUCUGCGAGGAUGAUCAGUAACAUUGGAACUGAGACACGGUUAAAAAGUCUACGGGAGGCAGCAGUAGGGUAUAUUGCGCAAUGGGGGAAACCCUGACGGAGCAACGCCGCGUGGAGGAUUACACUUAGCGGAGCGUAAACUCCUUAUGUUAGGGAAGCGGUAUCUAACGAAUAAGCACCGGCUAACUCCGUGCCAGCAGCCGCGGUAAUUC